CUGCUCUGUUGGAGUUUUGUGGAAGAGGACGUGGUUUUCUGCAUACUUACUUUGAGUUCAUCAGAAGCUGCCCCAUUUGAACAGAAGGUCAAACAGCGGAUGGAGUCCGCCUGUCCCCAGCAUGCCCUCUGCAAUGGUGGAAAGAAGGCUGAAACAGUUUCAAUAAUUCUCCAAAGAGGAGUAUCUCAUUUGCAUCCCACAGGACGAAAGAGAACUUGAUUUCU